GGAGCUAUGGGGGCGGGGUAGGCAGUGCAAGCGAGCCGACCACGGUAACGGUGGUUCGGAUGAACCGACACGGUCACCGCCCUUCACAACCACAGCCGCUAAUGAAAAGAACAGAACUCCAUCGUUUACUCGCGUUUCAACCGGUCUCUUCAUUCAUCCAUGCCUUCCCCCAGACCACGGGGAUCCACUCAUCUGUAUGACUCACGCCCGGUGGCUCGAGGCAGGGCCAGAAGAUCCCCCACAGAGGACAGAGGCAACGCUCACAGGCAAACACACUAACAAGGCACAGAAGCCCGUAAAGAGAUCUCCUGGCAGCUGGGAGGACCAACACGGGGGGCGAGAGUACUGCAGAUGAACACAGCGAGAGAACCUUCGCCUCAAGAUGGCCGCCGACAAGAAGCAGAUUUUCAGAGUCGGGGAUUUGCAUUUCAUUUCGGAACGUUACAUGGAAUGCAAAUCCCCAGUUGCUGUCGGCCAAGGAUUUCUGAGUCUGAUUUCAUAACUUUUCCAGUAGGGUUUUUCAUUUGAAGGGCACCAUACUUAUCCACAACGGGCCCACGCUAAACCCAUCGUCAUCGCCAGCAUUCACGCCGGAUAUCGUGGAGUCUUUAACUAUAGAUAAUAAUAAUAAUUACAGUGUAAACACAUGGCAGUAUUAAACUUUGUGUGCUAACAUCCAACAUCAACAGAAUUCUCCGCGUCUAGGAUUCCAAGAAGACGUUUAUGAACACAAGAUGGAUUCCAACACAGAUUAACUGUGUUUGGGUUGAAUGGUGACCUCUUUUUGAGAGUUUGUGAGGUGUAGCAAAACCAGAAUUAUAUCUCUUGAAACUCAUAAAUAAAGUUAAUUCUGAGAAGUAUAAACUAUUUGACAGCAUGUCAGCAAUGACCGACGUGGCUGUUAUUGCCGCACAACGCCUGCAAAGAAUGAAACAUCUACGUAUAAGCAACGUGUCCAUUC
ensembl:lncRNA